CGGAGGGGCGCCGAGGCGCCGGCGGCGGGGAAGGGGGGGAAGGACGGGGGGAGGGGAGAGGGGGGGAGGGGGCGGGUGGGGAGAGAAGCAGCAGAGUCACUUCACCGACCAGACGCCGCGGCCACCGCCGACGCCGCCGCCAUUUUAACAGAGCGCUCGGGCUGCGCUCGGCUCUUUCCGCCCGGGCUUAGGAGCGGACGAGAGGCGCCUCGCGCUCUCAUUCCUCCGCCUCCCUCCCUUUCUCGCCUCUCCUCCGCCCCCCACCUCUCCCUCCGCACACACGCCGCACGCUCCACACCCCGCCGUGGCCGGCUCGCCGCCCUCCCUUUCCUCUUCCGUCCGGCCUCCCCGCCCUCGGUCCACCCCCUCCGCGCGCUCGCCCACCCCGCCCAGCCCGGAUCUCUGUCAGCGGCCGGAAGGGAAACGCGAAGCCAGCGCGGCCGCGGGGGGAGUCCGGGUGAGUAGGAGAAGAUGGCGGAGGCAACGGACGGGUCGCGGUUGCGUGGCGUCGCCCACCACGACCCACUCCACGGGCUCUGAGGCCCGGGGAGCGCCAGGUCACUCGCUCCGUCCUGUCCCCCGCCCCUGGGCUUCGCCAUUUUUCCCCAGGGCCUGGGUCGGGGAGUUGGUGCGGGUUUCUUUGGUGUCCCCGGCCUCUUCCGCGCUUAGGCUUUUGGGGUACGGGAAGCAAGGAGUCAACUUGGGUGCCGGGCCGGGUCUACGCCGUAGCCCUCUUUCGGGCGCAAGGGCCACUCCCCCCGGGGUCUGAGAGUGAAUCAGCCCAGGGCCCGGCUUAACUGCAUCGGUGAUUAUCGCUACCCUGCAGUUCCUUGAAGGUCCUCCGUCCUGGAGCAGUAAGAUCCUUGACGUAACUAGAAAUGGCAGGGUAGCAGUUGAAACCAACCAUCAUGGUGAUCUGGCUUUUCUAGGGCUGGCCAUACAUAAUUGAGUUCCUCCUGAUAAAAGGUAAGCAACAAUCCUGAGAAACAUAGUGGGAGCCCUGUGUCUACAAAAAUUUAAAAGGUGGCUGGGCGCGUUGGCUCACUCCUGAAAUCCCGCACUUAGGGAGGCUGAGGUGAGCAAAUCACCUGAGGUCGGGAGCUCUAGACCGGCCUGACCAACAUGGACAAAGCUCAUCUCUGCUAAAAAUACAAAAUUAGGCAUGGUGGUGCAUGCCUGUAAUCCCAGCUACUCAGGAGGCUGAGGCAGGAGAAUCGCUUGAACCCGGGAGGCAGGGGUUGCGGUGAGCCGAGAUCGCGCCAUUGCACUCCAGCCUGGGAUAAGAGUGAAACUCCGUCUCAUAAAAAAAAAAAAAAAAAAAGGCCAGGCAUGGUGGUUCAUGCCUGUAAUCCCAGCGCUUUGGGAGGCCGAGGCGAGAAGAUCACUAAAUCAGGAGAUUGAGACCAUCCUGGCUAACACGGUGAAACCCCGUCUCUACUAAAAAUACAAAAAAUUAGCCAGGCAUGGUGGUGGGCGCCUGUAGUCCCAGCUACUUGGGAGGCUGAGGCAGGAGAAUGGCAUGAACCCAGGGAGCAAAGCUUGCAGUGAGCUGAGAUCGCGCCACUGCACUCCAGCCUGGGCGACACAGCAAGACUCCGUCUCAAAAAAAAAAAAAAAAAAUUACCUGGUCGUGGUGGCUCACGACUAUAAUCAUAGUACUUUGAGAGUCCAAGGCAGAUGGAUUGCUUGAGCCUGGGAGUUCUACAUCAACCUGGGCAACAUGGCAAAAGUCCAUCUCCAGUACAUAAGAAAAUUAGUGGAAUGUGGUGGUGCACACCUGUAAUCCCAGCUACUGGGGAGGCUGAGGUGGGAGGAUCACUAGAGCCCAGGAGAUUGAGACUGCAGUGAGCUGUGGUCAUACCACUGCAGUCUAGCCUGGGUGACAGAGUGAGACCCUCUCUGGAAAAAAAAAGAAAUGUAAGCAGAAAUCUGCAGGAUGGGUUCUUUGGGAAGAAUUCCCAAAAGAAUUCCUAAUACGAUGAGGGACAAAUUCAGCUAACAUACCAUUUAACCCUUUCUGCCUGAAACAUGGUCUUGAUGCACAAAGUAAUACCCAUCUUGUAAUUUUUUUAACAAUGAAAACUUUUACCCCAUUUGCGAUUUCAUUGUUUAAAAAAUUUGAUUAAACAGGCCGGGCACAGUGGCUCACGCCUGUAAUCCCAACACUUUGGGAGGCUGAGGCAGGUGGAUCACCUGAGGUCAGAGUUCAAGACCAGCCUUACCUACAUGCUGAAACCCCAUCUCUUCUAAAAAUAUAAAAAAUGAGCCGGGUGUGGUGGCGGGCACUUUGUAAUCCCAGCUACUCGGGAGGCUGAGGCUGGAGAAUUGCUUGAACCCGGGGGUGGAGGUUGCAGUGAGCCGAGAUUCUGCCAUUGCACUCCAGCCUGGGCAACAAGAGCAAAAAAAAUUCCAUCUCGAAAAAAAAUGAUAAAACAGAAUCAUAAAGUGUGGAUCCCUGAUGCAUCUUUGAACAACAGUCUAUGCUCAGACUGCUUAUGUGAGAAAAAUAAAAUGUAUUUUUCUUGGCUGGGCAUGGUGGCCUACACCUGUAUUCCCAGAACUUUGAGAGGCUAAGGAGGGCAGAUCACUUGAGGACAGGAGUUAGAGACCGGCCUGGCCAACGUAAUGAAACCCAUCUCUACUAAAAAUACAAAAAUUAGGCUGGGCGCAAUGGCUCACGCCUGUACUCCCAGCACUUUGGGAGGGGGAGGUGGGCAGAACACAAGGUCAGGAGUUCAAGACCAGCCUGGCCAACGUAGUGAAGCCUCGUCUCUACUAAAAAUACAAAAAUUAGCCGGGUUUGAUGGCGCAUGCCUAUAGUCCCAACUACUUGGGAGGCUGAGGCAAGAGAAUUGCUUGAACCCAGGAGGCAGAAGUUGCAGUGAGCCAAGAUCGCACCAGUGCACUCCAGCCUCGGCGACAGAGCAAGACUCCGUCUCAAAAAAAAAAAAAAGCCGGUUGUGGUGGAGGGCACCUGUAAUCCCAGCCACUCAGAAGGCUGAGGCAGGAGAAUCCCUUGAACCCGGGAGGCAGAGGUUGCAGUGAGCUGCAGUUGCCACUGCACUCCAGCCUGGAUGACAGAGCAAGACUCCUCAAAAAAGUUCUUUUUCUUUAAGCCAUUCUUCAGAUUUUCGUUACUUGUAACCAAACACAUUUCUAACUACUGAUUACAGAUACUCUUUUUUUUUUUUUUUUUUUUUUUUGAGUCUCGCUUUUUUUGCCCAGGCUGGAGUGCAGUGGAGUGAUCUCCGCUCACUGCCAGCUCCGCCUCCCGGGUUCAGGCCAUUCUCCUGCCUCAGCCUCCUGAGUAGCUGGGACUACAGGUGCCACCACCACACCUGUCUACUUUUUUGUAUUUUUAGUAGAGAUGGGGUUUCUCCAUGUUGGUCAGGCUGGUCUCGAACUCCCACCCUCAGGUGAUCCGCCCGCCUCGGCCUCCUAAAGUGCUGUGAUUACAGGCGUGAGCCACCGCGCCCGGCCAAGUGUGUAUAACUGUUGAUCAACAUUUUGAAGACCAGUUAUGACAGUUAAAUUAUUUGCCACAACUCAAAUGAACAGCAGAGCACUUUAUCACAAACUAACAUUCACCCUGGAAUGUACUGUACAGUCAACCUAUUCUGUCUCCUUCCAUCUCUCCAUUCCUAUGCCUUUCAUCUUUUUAUUUUAUUUUAAUUUUUUUUUGAGAUGGAGUCUUGCUCUGCUGCCCAGGGUGGAGUGCAGUGGCGCAAUCUCGGCUCACUGCAAGCUCUGCCUCCUGGGUUCAAGCGAUUCACCUGCCUCAGCCUCCUAAAUAGCUGGGAUUACAGAUGUGUGCCAUCACAUUGGGCUAAUAUUUAUAUUUUUAGUAGAGACAGGGAUCUUACUAUGUUGCCCAGGCUGUUCUUGAACUCGGUCUCAAGUGAUCCACCCACCUCAGCCUCCCAAAGUGAUGGGAUUACAGGUAUGAGCCACCAGCCCUGGCCUAAAUUUAAAAAAAAGGGUAUUCCUAUGUUGCCCAGACUGGUCUCGAACUCCUGAGCUCCAGCAAUCCUCCCACCUGCCAAAGUGCUAGGAUUACAGUUGAGCCACUGCACCCCACAGAGAUCUCACUGUGUUGCCCAGGCUGCAGUGCAGUGACAAUUCAUAGGCCCAGCAUGCUUUGAACGGCAUGCUUUGAGGUGAUCCUCCUGCCUCAGCCUCCCAAGUAGCUGGGACUACAGGCAUAUUCCACCACUUUCCUGGCUCAAGGAAUCCUCCUGCCUCAGCCUCCUGGGUAGCUGGGAGGACAAGUGUGUGUCACCACACCUGGACAACUGGGGGUGUAUUUGUAUCUUAUGGGAUGGAUAUUUGGUGAUUUGUUAUGAGCAAAUUGAUACCCUUCUGUUUGUGGAGAUUCUCUUGAAUCCUUUUUUCCAUACACUCCAUUUUCUUCUGUUUGGAACUCAUGUUUACUUAUGGAGUGGUCCUCAAAUUUUUAAAAGUUUAUAUUUUGCAUCUUUUUCUCUUUUCCCUCUAUUUUUGGGAGAUUUAAAUUUCUUUUUUUUUCUUUUUGAGGAGUCUCGCUGUCGCCCAGGCUGGAGUGCAGUGGCGCCGUCUCAGCUCACUGCAAGCUCCGCCUCCCGGGUUCACGCCAUUCUCCUGCGUCAGCCUCCCAAGUAGCUGGGACUACAGGUGCCCACCACCAUGCCCGGCUAAUUUCUUUGUAUUUUUAGUAGAGACAGGGUUUCACAGUGUUAGCCAGGAUGGUCUCCAUCUCCUGACCUCGUGAUCCGCCCGCCUUGGCCUCCCAAAGCGCUGGGAUUACACACGUGAGCCACCGCACCUGCCUCUGCAACUCAUUUUUUAUUUCUGCUAUUCUCUAAUUUCCAAAAUUCUGUUCUCUUGAUAUACCUUUACUGUGGUAUUGUUUUUCUUGGUUGCAGAAAGCUCUCAACUUUUCUAAGGGUACUGGUGAUUGAUAUUUUUGUUUACUUUUGCCUGUGCAGUCUGUUUUCAACUUGCCCGUUUCCAUUUUAAAAUUCAUAUUGAGACUGCCCUUAGAUGUCUGAUAAUCCUUAGUUGUCCAUUUACACACCCAUUAUAUAAAAUGUAUAGGGAAGGCCAGGCACGGUGGCUCACGCCUAUAAUCCCAGCACUUUGGGAGGCUGAGGUGGGUGGAUCACCUGAGGUCAGGAGUUUGAGACCAGCCUGUCUAAACAUGGCAAAACCCCAUCUUUAGUAAAAGCACAAACAGCUGGUUGCGUUGAUGCGUGCCUGCAGCCCCAGCUUCUCUGGAGGCUGAGGCUGGAGAAUCGCUUGAAUCCGGGAGGCGGAGGUAGUAGUGAGCCGAGAUCACGCCACUGCACUCCAGCCUGAGCAACAGAGCAAGAUUCUAUCACCCCCACCCCCCACCCCGCAAAAAAAAAAAUCAAUCUAUAUCUGAGAGAGAGUGUCUCACUCUGGCUGGAGUGCAGUGGCACAAUCUCAGCUCACAGCAACCUCUCCUUCCCAAAUUCAAGAGAUUCUCCUGGCUCAGCCUCCCAAGCAGCUGGAACUACAGGCACGUGCCACCACACUUGGCUAAUUUUUGUAUUUUUUUGUAGAGACAGGGUUUCACUGUGUUGGCCAGGCAGGUCUGGGACUCUUGGCCUCAAGUGAUCCGCCCACCUUGGCCUCCCAAAGGGCAGGGAUUACAGGUGUGAGCUACCAAGCCUGGCUCCACUCACCCUUUUGAGAAGGCUCAUGGCUACUUAGUUUACUUACAUUUUUUAAGAAUACAAUUAGUAUUUGUACCAGGUUACAUCUGUGUUCUCAUUCCAAGGCUAAUGUUUAUUCUUUGUUACAUUUAGAUGCUAAGUAGAGUUAGACAAGAAGUGCCCUCUAAUCCCAAAUAAAGGUAAAAUGAGUCAAAAUGCCACAGGAGGAAUUUGUUUCUUGAGAACAAAAGGUAUCUUAGGAACAUGUUCAUUUUACACAACUGCUGCAUUUACUAGGAACAAUAACCUUAGAAAUCUUGUUUGUAAAUCAAGGGGUCCAACUUCAUUUAAAAUGUUACUUGAUGCUUAAACACAAAUACCCACUAUCAUUAAUAUAGGAAUAAAUGAG
rnacentral:lncRNA from 10 species